UACGGGGGGGGUAGCAGUGUUGGUCGAUUUACUGGGCGUAAAGGGCGCGUAGGCGGCCACCGCAAGUCGGUUGUGAAAUCUCCGGGCUUAACUCGGAAAGGUCAACUGAUACUGUGCGACUAGAGUGCGGAAGGGGCAACUGGAAUUCUCGGUGUAGCGGUGAAAUGCGUAGAUAUCGAGAGGAACACCUGCGGCGAAGGCGGGUUGCUGGGCCGACACUGACGCUGAGGCGCGAAAGCCAGGGGAGCGAACGGG
rnacentral:rRNA from 1 species